GGAAUAUUGGACAAUGGGCGAAAGCCUGCUCCAGCAAUGCCGCGUGAGUGAUGAAGGCCUUCGGGUUGUAAAGCUCUUUUACCAGGGAUGAUAAUGACAGUACCUGGAGAAUAAGCUCCGGCUACCUCCGUGCCAGCAGCCGCGGUAAUACGGAGGGAGCUAGCGUUGUUCGGAAUUACUGGGCGUAAAGGGCGCGUAGGCGGCCUGCUAAGUCGGACGUGAAAUCCCUCGGCUAAACCGGGGAACUGCGUCCGAUACUGACAGGCUCGAAUCCGGGAGAGGGAUGUGGAAUUCCAGGUGUAGCGGUGAAAUGCGUAGAUAUCUGGAGGAACACCGGUGGCGAAGGCGGCAUCCUGGACCGGCAUUGACGCUGAGGCGCGAAAGCCAGGGGAGCAAAC
rnacentral:rRNA from 1 species